rnacentral:rRNA from 1 species
GAUAAACGCUGGCGGCGUGCAUAACACAUGCAAGUCGAACGAAGAGGAUUAAAAGAUUUCUUGGGAACGAAUUUAAUUGGAGUAGUGGCGGCCGGGUUAGUAACGCCUGAGUAACCUGCUUUGUACAAGGGGAUAGCCGUUGGAAACGACGAAUAAUACUCUAUCACAUUAAAUAAUCGCAUGAUAAUUUGAUAAAAGAUUUAUUGGCAUAAGAUGGACUUGCGUCUGAUUAGCUAGCUGGAGGAGUAAAAGCCGACUAAGGCAGCGAUCAGUACCGGGCUUGGGAGCGUGUACAGCCAGAUUGGGACAGGGACAAGACCCAGACUGCUGCGAGAGGCAGCAGUGAUGAAUUAUGCACAAUGAGGGAGACCCUGAUGCAGCGAGUCCGCGUGAUUUGGAAGUCCGUCGUGAAGUAAAAUUCUUUUGUAUGGGAAGAAAAUGACGGUACCAUACAAAUAAGGACCGGCUAAUUACGUG